GGCCUUUCGGGGUACACGAGCGGCGAACGGGUGAGUAACACGUGGGUGAUCUGCCCUGCACUUCGGGAUAAGCCUGGGAAACUGGGUCUAAUACCGGAUAUGACCUCAGGUUGCAUGACUUGGGGUGGAAAGAUUUAUCGGUGCAGGAUGGGCCCGCGGCCUAUCAGCUUGUUGGUGGGGUAAUGGCCUACCAAGGCGACGACGGGUAGCCGACCUGAGAGGGUGACCGGCCACACUGGGACUGAGACACGGCCCAGACUCCUACGGGAGGCAGCAGUGGGGAAUAUUGCACAAUGGGCGAAAGCCUGAUGCAGCGACGCCGCGUGAGGGAUGACGGCCUUCGGGUUGUAAACCUCUUUCAGCAGGGACGAAGCGCAAGUGACGGUACCUGCAGAAGAAGCACCGGCUAACUACGUGCCAGCAGCCGCGGUAAUACGUAGGGUGCAAGCGUUGUCCGGAAUUACUGGGCGUAAAGAGUUCGUAGGCGGUUUGUCGCGUCGUUUGUGAAAACCAGCAGCUCAACUGCUGGCUUGCAGGCGAUACGGGCAGACUUGAGUACUGCAGGGGAGACUGGAAUUCCUGGUGUAGCGGUGAAAUGCGCAGAUAUCAGGAGGAACACCGGUGGCGAAAGCCGGUCUCUGGGCAGUAACUGACGCUCAGGAACGAAAGCGUGGGUAGCGAACAGGAUUAGAUACCCUGGUAGUCCACGCCGUAUAC
rnacentral:rRNA from 1 species